AUAUGUAAAUAGAGUCGAGUGGGCGUAUGCACGUAACGUCACCCCAACCGCCUACAGAGAGGUUUUGAGUGGACAUCACGAGUAACGUCACGAGCAUGGCAAUUGUCCGGCGCCAUCUUUGUGGUUUUUUUACGUCUUAUUUGUGUUUACGCGCGCUUUAGCUGGACCUCGUGUUAUUUAUUCGUCGCGAGUAUGGCGAAUUGUUGUGUAAUUGGAUGUAAUUCUAGUCAUAAUAUAUCAUCAGGGCCACCAAACCGAGGAGCUUUCACGACGUAGGCAAUCUGCAUGGCUCUGGAGAAUUAACCGGAAAAUUUUCAAUACGGAUAAAGAAUAUCAAUACAAGAGUUUGCCAGAAACAUUUCGUUUCAGUCAGAGGCACUUCAUUCAGAAAAUGUGCUCAAACAGGCAAAAAACAACAAUCUGUUAAUAAUUAUGAAAAAACAAACACCUUAUUUUUCAGAGAUCUGUGAGAAUUCAAGGUUAAAUUGAUAAGCAAUUAAUUGGGGAAGUGGAAAAACCCCAGUUUUUCCCACCACCUCAUAAUUCCGUCACAUAUGGAUAGGAGAAAUAAACAGACAACAAUGAAUCAACAAUUGUCACAAUGUUUGGACUUAUCGAAGAAACUUUGAACAAACAUCCAGUUAUUAAUGAGGGAAGCUGUCAAAAAUGAUUACCGAAUAUGGGAAUAAAAAUCGUAGAAUUAGCCAGUUUGUCAAUGUGCUGUUGGCUGACUUCCACUGGACCCAGACACAGCUCGAACUUAGACCACAUUAAAUCAAAGUCACCCGAGUCAAUUGUCAUGUGCAACGCGUAUAAAAAGGGCUCAUACCCGAUUGUCAAUGCAAUCACUGAAGGAGACCAACCUCCUGCUGGACUUCAUACUCCUUGUCUCUACGUAAGGAUCAAUCAACCUUUACAAAGGUAUCGUCAUCAGAUCAAAUGCCUAACAAGAUAUUAUGUUUGUCAAUUUUAUGUAAACUCUCUCUCUCUCUCUCUCUCUCUCGGUCGACUUAGAAUUUAAGUUAGUCCUGGUGGAUAGCUAUUUGCUUAAUGACUAAAUCUAUCAGUUUCAGGUCAAUGUUAAAUGGAACCAAGGUUAACACUAUGGAACAUUAUAAUAUUUUGUCUGUUUUAAUAUAAACAACAAAAAAAAAUUACAUGUGUUAAGUUUAUCUAAAAGUAGUAGUAACUCAUGUAUCACUACAUGUAUGACUUACCCUCCCCCACUCAAACUAUGGAGUACCCUCCUAUUUAAAUUUAUUUUAGCCGAAGAUAUUGGAAUGUUCAUGAGUUACGAUGUGAACUAUUACUAUCCUAACUGGUGUCAGGAAAAAGUCCUCAAGAUCUAACAAUCUUGAGAACAAAAUUAUUUACAGCCAUCCAGUGACAAUUGAGCAGACUUUACCAGGCCAACGCUGACCAAAGGGGUUUAACUUGUAUCCAUCAACCCCCAGCUUCUCACAGAUCUGUAUUGAAUAAAGAUCAAAACUCCCAGAACAAUGCAAUAAACCUUUCUUCUUUUACUAUUUUCUUAGCAAAAUUUUUUUAAAAAUAUGUGGUUUUGUGACAAUAUUAAUGAAAAAUUCAAGACUCGCUUUCACUUUACUAGAAAAUACUGUAAAAAUAGAAAAAAGUGAUUUCAUCUCCUGUCUAGAAAUUUCUAUUCUUCAAAAUCCAGAUAGAAACAUAAGCCCAGCUACUAUCUGCAGAAAAACCUGUGAUGGAAAACAGAAUAGGAACACAGAAAAUUUCUAUUUUCUGAAAAAGCAGGAUGUUAAUUUGCAGAAAAUAGGAACUCAAAUAAUAUAUAUACUAUUGGUUUUAUCAAAAUGAUGUCAAAAUUCUAAGAUAGAUACUUAUAUCGUCAAUAACAAAUUGUUUUCUGGUCAUAUAAUAUUUAACCUUCAGUUCUUUCAAAGCUUUUACAAAAGGGGUACAAAGAAGGUGUCCAAUAAUAUCAAAUAUUGUGAUCACAUUUCAUUAGAAAUGAUUUAAAAUUAAAUGUAUUAUGUCUGCCAUGUUGACAUAUAAAUGUCACAAAUAAUUUCUAAAUGUAAUAAGUUUUGAGAAUUGUUUAACUUUCCUGUUAUCUGCUUCUGUGGAGAGUAUUAAACCUAAAAGUUAAAAUAUUUUCUACUGUAUGCUUUAAUCAAUACCAUUAUGACAUUGAAUAGAUUCAUAUUACUAAAAAUACAAAU